UACGGGGGGGCAAGCGUUGUUCGGAAUUACUGGGCGUAAAGGCUCGUAGGCGGCCAACUAAGUCGGAUGUGAAAUCCCCAGGCUUAACCUGGGAACUGCAUCCGAUACUGGAUGGCUUGAAUCCGGGAGAGGGAUGCAGAAUUCCAGGUGUAGCGGUGAAAUGCGUAGAUAUCUGGAGGAACACCGGUGGCGAAGGCGGCAUCCUGGACCGGCAUUGACGCUGAGGCGCGAAAGCCAGGGGAGCAAACGGGG
rnacentral:rRNA from 1 species